rnacentral:rRNA from 2 species
UGGGUAACACUAACUGGAGGACCGAACCGACUAAUGUUGAAAAAUUAGCGGAUGACCUGUGGCUGGGGGUGAAAGGCCAAUCAAACCGGGAGAUAGCUGGUUCUCCCCGAAAGCUAUUUAGGUAGCGCCUCGUGAAUUCAUCUCCGGGGGUAGAGCACUGUUUCGGCUAGGGGGCCAUCCCGGCUUACCAACCCGAUGCAAACUGCGAAUACCGGAGAAUGUUAUCACGGGAGACACACGGCGGGUGCUAACGUCCGUCGUGAAGAGGGAAACAACCCAGACCGCCAGCUAAGGUCCCAAAGUCAUGGUUAAGUGGGAAACGAUGUGGGAAGGCCCAGACAGCCAGGAUGUUGGCUUAGAAGCAGCCAUCAUUUAAAGAAAGCGUAAUAGCUCACUGGUCGAGUCGGCCUGCGCGGAAGAUGUAACGGGGCUAAACCAUGCACCGAAGCUGCGGCAGCGACACUGUGUGUUGUUGGGUAGGGGAGCGUUCUGUAAGCCUGUGAAGGUGUGUCGUGAGGCAUGCUGGAGGUAUCAGAAGUGCGAAUGCUGACAUAAGUAACGAUAAAGCGGGUGAAAAGCCCGCUCGCCGGAAGACCAAGGGUUCCUGUCCAACGUUAAUCGGGGCAGGGUGAGUCGACCCCUAAGGCGAGGCCGAAAGGCGUAGUCGAUGGGAAACGGGUUAAUAUUCCCGUACUUGGUGUUACUGCGAAGGGGGGACGGAGAAGGCUAUGUUGGCCGGGCGACGGUUGUCCCGGUUUAAGCGUGUAGGUGUGUGUUCCAGGUAAAUCCGGUUCACUUUAACACUGAGGCGUGACGACGAGGCACUACGGUGCUGAAGCAACAAAUGCCCUGCUUCCAGGAAAAGCCUCUAAGCAUCAGGUAACAUCAAAUCGUACCCCAAACCGACACAGGUGGUCAGGUAGAGAAUACCAAGGCGCUUGAGAGAACUCGGGUGAAGGAACUAGGCAAAAUGGUGCCGUAACUUCGGGAGAAGGCACGCUGACACGUAGGUGAAGUGAUUUACUCAUGGAGCUGAAGUCAGUCGAAGAUACCAGCUGGCUGCAACUGUUUAUUAAAAACACAGCACUGUGCAAACACGAAAGUGGACGUAUACGGUGUGACGCCUGCCCGGUGCCGGAAGGUUAAUUGAUGGGGUCAGCGCAAGCGAAGCUCCUGAUCGAAGCCCCGGUAAACGGCGGCCGUAACUAUAACGGUCCUAAGGUAGCGAAAUUCCUUGUCGGGUAAGUUCCGACCUGCACGAAUGGCGUAAUGAUGGCCAGGCUGUCUCCACCCGAGACUCAGUGAAAUUGAACUCGCUGUGAAGAUGCAGUGUACCCGCGGCAAGACGGAAAGACCCCGUGAACCUUUACUAUAGCUUGACACUGAACAUUGAGCCUUGAUGUGUAGGAUAGGUGGGAGGCUUUGAAGUGUGGACGCCAGUCUGCAUGGAGCCGACCUUGAAAUACCACCCUUUAAUGUUUGAUGUUCUAACGUGGACCCGUUACCCGGGUUGCGGACAGUGUCUGGUGGGUAGUUUGACUGGGGCGGUCUCCUCCUAAAGAGUAACGGAGGAGCACGAAGGUUGGCUAAUCCUGGUCGGACAUCAGGAGGUUAGUGCAAUGGCAUAAGCCAGCUUGACUGCGAGCGUGACGGCGCGAGCAGGUGCGAAAGCAGGUCAUAGUGAUCCGGUGGUUCUGAAUGGAAGGGCCAUCGCUCAACGGAUAAAAGGUACUCCGGGGAUAACAGGCUGAUACCGCCCAAGAGUUCAUAUCGACGGCGGUGUUUGGCACCUCGAUGUCGGCUCAUCACAUCCUGGGGCUGAAGUAGGUCCCAAGGGUAUGGCUGUUCGCCAUUUAAAGUGGUACGCGAGCUGGGUUUAGAACGUCGUGAGACAGUUCGGUCCCUAUCUGCCGUGGGCGCUGGAGAACUGAGGGGGGCUGCUCCUAGUACGAGAGGACCGGAGUGGACGCAUCACUGGUGUUCGGGUUGUCAUGCCAAUGGCACUGCCCGGUAGCUAAAUGCGGAAGAGAUAAGUGCUGAAAGCAUCUAAGCACGAAACUUGCCCCGAG